rnacentral:rRNA from 1 species
AGUGAACGCUGGCGGUAGGCCUAACACAUGCAAGUCGAACGGCAGCACAGAGGAGCUUGCUCCUUGGGUGGCGAGUGGCGGACGGGUGAGGAAUACAUCGGAAUCUACUCUGUCGUGGGGGAUAACGUAGGGAAACUUACGCUAAUACCGCAUACGACCUACGGGUGAAAGCAGGGGAUCUUCGGACCUUGCGCGAUUGAAUGAGCCGAUGUCGGAUUAGCUAGUUGGCGGGGUAAAGGCCCACCAAGGCGACGAUCCGUAGCUGGUCUGGGAGGAUGAUCGGCCACACUGGAACUGAGACACGGUCCAGACUCCUACGGGAGGCAGCAGUGGGGAAUAUUGGACAAUGGGCGCAAGCCUGAUCCAGCCAUACCGCGUGGGUGAAGAAGUCCUUCGGGUUGUAAAGCCCUUUUGUUGGGAAAGAAAUCCAUCUGGUUAAUACCCGGGUGGGAUGACGGUACCCAAAGAAUAAGCACCGGCUAACUUCGUGCCAGCCGCCGCCGUAA